UGCUUGGUUUUGUGAAUUACAAGGAUGCUGUGUCCUGCUAGGGAUGCUGGGCUUGGAAUGAGGCCGAGAGGCUCACAGGGAUCGCCAGGCUGGCGGCAGCCCCCAGGCUCUUUAAGUUGUUUUCCAUUAAGGGCACAAGCAAAGCCCACCUUAUAGUUGACUUUUGUCUUUUUCCCAAAUCGAGCAACUCUGUAAAAAAAGAGGCUUUGGACCCAGAUUUUUCCCAGCUGUCUCCAACUGGACAUCCAGGGCGCCUCUCCUGUUCUUUCUGACUCUUGAAUUGGAAGCUAACAAGACUCUGCAGCCUGGAAAGGAAGUGAAAGCUAUUUCGUGCAGUGGAGAGUACUUGAAGGGGGCGAGGAUUCCCUGCGAUUCCUGCCUGCAACUGGGCAAA